rnacentral:rRNA from 1 species
GAUCAUGGCUCAGGAUGAACGCUAGCUACAGGCUUAACACAUGCAAGUCGAGGGGCAGCAUGGUCUUAGCUUGCUAAGGCCGAUGGCGACCGGCGCACGGGUGAGUAACGCGUAUCCAACCUGCCCAUCACUUGGGAAUAGCCUUGCGAAAGUAAGACUAAUACCCAAUGAUAUCCCACGAAGGCAUCCGAAUGGGAUUAAAGAUUUAUCGGUGAUGGAUGGGGAUGCG